AUGUUUGAGCUUUGGCCGUGCCCACGUCCCCUGUGUGCCGCAGGGCUCCGGGCCAAAGUGACCCUGCUGGAGCCCGGGGGCACCUCCAGCCCCCCGGGGGUCCCUGACGUUGCUGUGCCGCGGCUCCGGGUUCAGUUUCGGCAGUUACGCCAUGUUCUGGAUCCGCCAGAGACCCGGGCAGGGGCUGGAAUUCGUCGCGGGGAUCAAGAGCAACGGUGGCAGCAUCGGCUACUCGGAUUCGGUGCAGGGCCGGGUCAGGAUCUGCAGGGACAACGGGCAGAGCUCGGUGACGCUGACCAUGAACAGCCUCAGGGACGAGGAUUCCGGAUCCUAUUUCUGUGCCAAAUGUGUUGAUGGUGGCUGUGUGUGCCGCCAGAUCGCUCUGGGGCGCAAAGUGACCCUGCUGGAGCGCGGGGCACCUCCAGCCACGGGGCCCUGCUCGCCGCCCUGCCGAACAGCCUCAAGGGGUCGGGCCAAAGUGACCCUGCUGGAGUCCGGGGCACCUCCAGCCCCCGGGGGCCCGUGA